UACGUAGGGCGCGAGCGUUGUCCGGAAUUAUUGGGCGUAAAGAGCUUGUAGGCGGUUUGUCGCGUCUGCUGUGAAAGGCCGGGGCUUAACCCCGUGUAUUGCAGUGGGUACGGGCAGACUAGAGUGCAGUAGGGGAGACUGGAACUCCUGGUGUAGCGGUGGAAUGCGCAGAUAUCAGGAAGAACACCGAUGGCGAAGGCAGGUCUCUGGGCUGUAACUGACGCUGAGAAGCGAAAGCAUGGGGAGCGAACAGGAUUAGAAACCCGUGUAGUCC
rnacentral:rRNA from 1 species